rnacentral:rRNA from 1 species
UACAGAGGGGGCAAGCGUUGUUCGGAAUUACUGGGCGUAAAGGGCGCGUAGGCGGCCUGCUAAGUCGAACGUGAAAUCCCCGGGCUCAACCCGGGAACUGCGUCCGAUACUGGCAGGCUUGAAUCCGGGAGAGGGAUGUGGAAUUCCAGGUGUAGCGGUGAAAUGCGUAGAUAUCUGGAGGAGCACCGGUGGCGAAGGCGACAUCCUGGACCGGUAUUGACGCUGAGGCGCGAAAGCCAGGGGAGCAAACGGG